AAAGAAAACUGUGAUCUGAUUUAACAAACAAGUCAUUCAUAGUAUUGACAAAUGAGUGAAUUUCCAAUAGAUGUCUUCAUUGUUUUACUUCUUCUUACUCAGAAACAAAAUAUUAACCUUCAUGUCAGAACUAUACUCAGAGAGCCAAUAAUUACAUAUUAGUUAAUUAUUUAUUAAAUUUAUUUAUUUGCUUAUUAUUUGAUUAAACAUCUACCAUUCUCCCAGCCAGGAACAUCAAUGAUCCUAGAAUCUAGCAUCUCCUACCAUUUUGUAUGAUGAGGGUAUGAAACCCAGGACCUGUCCUUAGUCACAAAUAAGUGAACGGAUGGAUGAUCAACAUUUGAGUCAUGUGUUGUUCUUUUACAUUUUAACCUGAGUAUCUAGGAAAACGUGUUUUCUGUGACACACCUCAGUGGCGAUGGGCAGUAAAGACAUGUGAAAGAGUUGUCACUAGUUUAGCUAGUAAGCCCUUCUCUCCUGUGUCCUAACAAUGUUGUGUGCCUGGCAGGAGUCAGAAGAAUCAGGACACAGGAAGAGACUUACUAAGUCCCUCUCCCCAUCUGGGCAGACAGCAAUAGGUCAGGCAAAUAAGCUAUGACUUCCUUUUGUACUUUUCUCUCCUUAUACCCUGAGGCACUGAAGAGACUGGGGAGAUAUUCAGGCUUCCCUCAAAUCAGGAAUUUAACAAGCCUGGCCCCAAGUGAAAGGAUCAGGUUCAAACUUGGCCUCCGGACCAAAGCUCUCCCCUUGGCCUCAAUCACUUAGAACAUCACUUCAGUGUUACUCAGUGUAUGUUUGCAAGGUAAGCUGAAGAUCAUUAAUAAUAAUAGAUUUUACUUUUGCAUAUAGCCCUUUACAAUUUACAAGGCCUUUGUACAUGUACUAUCCUGUUUCAGCCCCAUGAUAGCCCUUUAUAGUGAGUAGGGUCAGGGUUACUAAACCUAUUUUAUAGAUAAAGAAAUGAGGCUUAAAGAUCAAGGGUGCCCAAGUUCAUGGAGUCAGUUUCAGGACUGAAACCUCGGUGUACUGACAAAAAUUGUAACUGUCUUCCAAGUAUUAUAGCACAGGCCUAGAAGCAUUCACAGAAUUAUUAUUAGUGACAGUUAUCAAUAAUAAUAAAUAGCUACAAUUUAUGAGCAUUUAUUGCUCAUUGUACUAAGUGCUUCAUUUGCAUUCUCACAAAUCUUCAUAGCAGUGUUUUGAGGUUGAUGCUAACUUCUCCAUUCACUAAGAACCUGAGGUUCAGAAAGUUUAGGAAUGUGUCCUGGAUCACACAGCCAGAGUGUCAGAGCAAGGAUCUGAACCCAACUUUGACUUCAGCUUCCUAAGAUCAUACUCUAAAGCUCUUGAAUAUUAUGAGAUCAUCAGAGGAGAUCAUAAUGAGAGCAGGGAGAUCAUUGAGAAACAAUUAUUCAGGAGGGUUCUGGGCGCUGUUUUUGAGAAAGUGGGAUUUGAAGGCCCAGUUCCAGUUAGCCAGGAGACAGCAUGUGGAAUGGCCUGAUGUGAAAAAGUACUGGGGAACUGAGAGUCAACCAGUGUGGCUAGAGUGACCUGAGCAAGGACUGAAUGUCAAGAGAUGAGGCCCAAGACAGUGGGCAAAAAGGUCAAAAAGGGCUGGGAGCCCCUGGUAAAGAUUUGGGAUUUUUUUUUUUCCUCAAGAAAAAUGAGAAGCCUUGUAAGGUUUUCAAUCAGGGAGGGAUGUAAUUCAAUUUAUGUUCAAUAUUACUGGCUGCUAAGAGACAAUGGAAUUGUGGAAAUAAGAUUUGAAACUCUUUUAGAAAUCCAGGUUGGCAUCCAAGAUGACAGGUUGGAUAAGGUCUCAGGUAAACAGCAGUGGAGGACAACUAUGAGUGGAUGAAUUUGAAGUAUGUGCCAGAUACUGUCAAAUACAUUUUCUUGAGUCUCACAACAACCUGGGGAGCCCUCAAGCCCCAAGGGAAGGAAGAAAAGGCAGAUAAGAAGCAAAAUAACACAAGGGGCAAGAAAAAUCCACCACGCUUUAUGGAAGAGCCUGGAAGACACUCCAUUUACGGAAGCAACAAGGAAUGCUCUAGCUAAGGAAAGUGUUAGAAUCACUAAUAAAUGGAGUCUUUGGCCAGAUACGUCUCACAUUGGUUCCACUAGGUACAUGGACCUACCCAGUUAUUUUGCCUAUUCCUGAAUGUACAAUAGGAAUGGGCAUACAUAGAAAUGGAAGAACCCUCGCAUUAGUUUCUUGACCUGUAGAAUGAGAGCUACUAAGUAUUAGUAAGAAACGCCAAAUGGAAGCCUCUGAAAUUGCUCCUUGACAAUGGCCAAAAUAAAUAAAAAACCUGUCACAUUUUAGGGGACUGGCAGAGUUUAGUGCCUCAAAACAUUAAAGAAUGCAAGAAUGGUGGACCCUAUCUUAUUCACAUUUAAUCCAUCAGUCUGCCUCUACAAGAAUUGGUAGGUCAUGGCAGAUGACAAGUAGACUAGCAGAAACUUAAUCAAGUAGUAUCUCCAACUACACCUGCUAUCCUAGAUGUGAUACUUUUCUAGAAGAGAUUAGUGGAGACUUAAGUACAUGGUGUAUAGCCACUGAUUUGGCAAAUGUGUUCUUUUCCACACCCAUUUGAAAAGAUGAUCACAUUGGAUGGGCAACAGUAAGCAUUCAUGAUCUUGCCCCAGCAUCAUGUUAAUUCACAUGUUCUUUGUCCAUAAUAUAAUCUAAAGGGAUCUGAACUUUUUGAACAUCUUGCAGAACAUCAUAUUGGUCCAGUAUGUCAAUACUAUCAUGUUAAUCAGACACCAUAAGAAGUAUGUGGUGAUUAAUCUGGAUGCCUUGGUGAGGCCCUUGCACUCCAGAAUAUGGGGGAGAAACCAUACAAAGGUUUAGAGGCCUGCCACAUUGGUGUAGUUUUUAGGGGUUCAAUGAUAUGGAACUUUUGGGGAUGUUCCCUCCAAAGAAAAGAACAAACCAUUGCACAAAGUACCUCUUGCCACCAAGAAGGAAACACAUUGGGGCGCCUGGGUGGCU